ACCAGUGGAUUGGUUUUUUUGACAUCUUUAAGGUAUUACUGUUGUUUGUAUUACUGUUGUAUUACUGUAAAAAUAUUAAUAUGUUGACAAAUUUAUUAAUUGAUCUAUAAUUGUUGAUGAUAUUAGUUGUUCCGACUAUGCAAAUGUAUUCUGCAGUCCUCGUUCCGCAUUUUAUGCUCGUCGCAGGGUGUUUUCCAUAAUAUACUAUGCAUACUACUGUGCACAAAGGAUGCUUUGAUUUAAUUUAUUAUAAUACUAACAGUUGUAUUUUUUGUCCAUGUUCAAUUACCUGUCAAUGUUGCUAACUUAAAUAUAGUCUUUUGCUGUAGGUUGGUAUCGAUUCCUGUUGAUUCUGGGGAACACCGUUUUCAGUACUUCAAACUACGUUGAUGUUUUCUAGCAGCAUGGGAGAACUUUUUAUAUAGUUGUUUUGGAACAGUGACACUAAUACCUGCAGAAACUGUGCACAGCUUUUUGGAAUUGUUAUUAUGGCAUAAAAUUUCAUCUCAUCAUCUGAGAGUUACGAUUCAAGGUGACAAAAUAAUUGUUUUAUUAUGUUGAUUAUAAAAGAAAUAGGUGGUGAGCUCACUAUAUAUAUUAGUGAACUACUCUGAUGAACUACAUGAUGAAUGAUACAAUACAGGUGCUGGCAUGCUAUCCAUGGCAAACUCAGGUCUAAACACUAAUAGAGGAUCCAUGGGUUCCCGCUUUACAGUACCAGUUUUUCCACCUUUACCAGAUUUCUUGUGUGCUUAAUUGUGAUUUUCAGAUUAUAUUGUUAUUAGUUGAUAAUUUUAUACAUAUAUAUAUAUUACUUUUUAGAUAUUCCUCAGUAAAUGAUGAUGUCAUCAAUUCACUGAGGAAUCUAUACAAUGUAUAUCCAGAAUUUUUCAGGGUAUCUAAAGUCCAAUCUUCUGGUUUAAUGUUUUGCACUUUUGUUUCCAGAAGAGUUUUUAUUGUAGCUGGUAUUUUAAAUGUUGCUACGUCUGGAAACUUCUAAACAAACAAAAUUAAUAUAAGUAUUUUAUGAAAUGUGAAUUGUUUUAAAGUUGUGUAAUAAGUUAAUAUAUAUUUUAACGACUGGCGGUGAAAUAGGACCGAAACGGAUUAGGACUGGAGAAAUAGGACUGGAAAUUUUCAGUCCUAUUUCUCCUGUAGAAAUAGGACUGGGAGAAAUAGGACAACUUUUUAAACACAUUUUAAACAGUCCUAUUUCUCCUUGGAUAUAAGGCUAUUUUGCUUGCCUUUAUCUUACAUAUUUAAGGACAAUGAGCCUCCAAACCGGUAGGCGAAAUUGGGGGGAAAUUGCAGUAGAAAAGCGUUGGCUUUAUAUGCCUACGCCCUUGAAAAUUACCGUUGACAAAAUGGCAACGCUUACUUCGCUUGCAUGCUAAGAAUUCCUUAUCCUAUUAAACUUUUUAUUGCAGAAUAUGAACCGUCAUUUUUGACUGAAUACAGUUCAUUUAACAAAUAAUUAAAUUUAAUAAAUCUAAAUGUUGUUUAACUUUUUCUAUUGUAAAUUUUUCGUACAUCUUGCAACACAGAGGGGGUUGCGUGGGAUGAUUCGUACCUUGGAAUCUCAGCCCCUUUGGUGAAUCAUCCCCCUCCCUAGAAGGGUGAGGACCACACCCAUCGUAGCCCCUCUAUGAUGCAAGUCGUAAGAAGAAUAAAUAAUAACCAAAGUAAAAUUGCACUCACAUUUAUGAAAUGAUUAAUUUUUUUAUAAAUGAACUAUAUAUUGUAAAAAAUUUCGGUUAAAGUACUGUAAAAAUUUUUUUUUUAUCAUAACGAGUUCUUAAGCUGCAAGUGAAUUAAGCGCUGAAAUUUUGUCAACGGUAAUUUUCUAGGACUGAAGGAUAUAAGCCAACCCGCUUGUCUCGGAUAAUUCCCCUAUCAUCUUGCCUACCGGUUUGGAGGCUCAUUGUUCUGAAAUAUGAAAGAGUAGAAAUAAAAAACAGGCAUAACCUUAAGGAGAAAUAGGACCGGUCAAAGAAGAAAUAGGACUGUUUAGAAUGUAUUUAAAAAUCAGUCCUAUUACUCCCAGUCCUAUUUCUACAGGAAAAAUAGGACUGGAAACUUUCAGUCCUAUUUCGUUUCGGUCCUAUUUCACCGGCUACCAUUUUAAUCGUGCAGUGUAUAGUUUUAACUUAAUGUAUAUAGUUUAUACAUAGUUGUUAUAAAGAAUUAUUUGCAUGUUAUCUACUUCUUAGAACUUAAAAUGAAUUUGUAUAUAGUAUUUAACCCUUGGGGUUUUUGUUUUUUAUAUAGAUAUACCUUAAAGUCAUUGUUAAGCAUAUUCAGGUCUUGUUCGUCCUCUGAAUCCUCAUUGUGUUCUUCUACUAUUUUAAUUAUCACAUUGUUGUUCAUCUCUAUAUCAGGAAUUAUAAUGUUAUCUAUUUGCAGUUGUUUUUCCUUUAAUUCUUUUAUUUCUAUAAAAUCCCAAAAAAUUGUAAAAACUUUAGAAAUUUUUGUCGUACAAA